rnacentral:sRNA from 3 species
ACGACACUUCGUUGUGACUUACCUCACCGUCGUGAGGUGAGCAUGCAGGUGAAAGGCGACUGAUGGCCACACACUCGUACGGCCCAGGGUCUA